UAAUUUAAGGUCUAAUCUGCUCAAUGAGGAGUUAAAUUGCCGCGGUAUUUUGACCGUGCAAAGGUAGCAUAAUAAUUAGUUUUUUUAUUGAAAGCUGGAAUGAAUGAUUGGACGAGAAAAUUACUGUCUCUUUUUGAAUUUUUAUUUAAUUUAACUUUUAAGUCAAAAGGCUUAAAUUUUUAUUAAAGACGAGAAGACCCUAUAGAGUUUAAUAUUUAUAUGAUUAUUAAUUAUUUGGUAUAUUUAAUAUAAUUUUUAAUUGUUUGAUUGUUUGGUUGGGGUGACUGGAAAAUUAAUUUAACUUUUCUAUAAUUAAUUAAUCAUUGAUUUUUGAAUAGUUUAUCUAUUUUUAAUAAAUUUAAGACAAAUUACCUUAGGGAUAACAGCGUAAUUUCUUUUUAGAGUUCUCAUUAAUAAGGAAGUUUGCGACCUCGAUGUUGGAUUAAAAUUUAUUUUUGGUGCAGAAGCUAGAAUAUUGAGUCUGUUCGACUUUUAAAAUUUUACAUGAUCUGAGU
rnacentral:rRNA from 1 species